AGGCGCGCUAAACAAAAAAAAAACAUUUGCUAACUUACAGUACAGCGGUCCAGCCUGCCUUCCAUUCAUUCCAUAUAGUCAUGACAAGUACUGUAUAUCGUCAGCAAACUUCUCAAAUGACCACGUAGAGUGAACUACUGAAAUACAUUUAUGUUAAUUUCAUUAUGUCAGUGAGGCGAAAAAGAAAUUCAAGAGACUUGAGAUGUGUCCUGUUCUCAGAGGAUGUAAAGGACACGCUCAGAAAUACCUCCGCUGUAACAAAAAAUCCGACCUCUUCAUCACUUAAGUCGUGGGAACGAUGUGGAGACGGUUUCCUCGACACGCCAACCCAGAAGAAACCCAGGUCAGUGUGUCCAAAACAUGCAACUGCGAGACAGUAUCUCACUACAGAAAAGUACAGGGUGGAGAUGGAGGAGCCUGUCCACAUCGCUUGGAGCUCAAGUGAAAGUGAACUGUCCGACUGUGAGGAAAGCAGUCCUCCAUCCAAGAGAGUGGCAACUCCAAAACCAAGCCAAUCUCGGCUGAAACCCAAGCUCAAUGUCAGCAGUUAUCUGCAGCUAUUAAACCGUGAAGCAGAUGAGGUCCCUGCUAUUGAGUCCGACAGUGAUUUGAGUGAUGAUGAUGAGGAUGAUGAAGUCAGGACCCACAAGGAGACGGAACCUGACAAAACUGCAGCAAUUUCAGAUUGCGUCUCACCAGAGAAGGACAAAUGGGAGGGAAAACAACCCCAAGAGGUACAAAAGGUGCCUGAUGUGGACAUCUCUGACUACCCUUCAGAUGGAGAGGGUGGUCCUGCAGGUGAGGGAGCCUCCUCGACCGAUGCGGGACCCUGCCCUGUGGACCCAUCCGAAGGUGGCCGCCGCUCACUGAGGGACUGGGUACGCUCUGCUCAGGCAUUGUUGCAGACGCCUCAGAAGCAAGCCAACGCCCAUUUCAAGACCCCAGAUGACUCCAAUAAAAAGAGAAGGAAAUUUGAAAGUGGAGGGCUGGCAGACAGGUUGAACCGACUCCAGAGCAGACAGAGAUCAGCCAUCAGCUUCUGGAGGCACCAGUCCACAGUGGACAUCACCACUGCUGCAGGUAAGCCAGGUGUGCUAGCUGUUCAGGUCCUCAGUAUGCAAGAGGACUGUGGCUUGAGCGUUGCCCUGUGCCAGCGACUCGAGGAAGUGCCCCCUGAGGGGCAUCAGAACUCAGUGCAGGGUCAACAGGAUGUGGCCGAGGGGCAGGAGGACGCGGGAGAGAGUAACCACUGCCUGGUGCUGUUCAGCCGGGAGACCGUGGCCCAGCUGGCCCCAAGCCCAGGUGACCUUAUCCACGUGCAUCCGCCCUGGCAAACACUAAUCAUGGAAGGCGAAAGAUGCCCGGUCAUUCUCAACGCCCACUUCAGCCAGAAGGUGCUGCCCCUGGAGAGGCAGAGCCACAUGGCGCCCAGCCCAAAGUACACUCCCCAGGCCCACAGGUGCCGUCCCUACCCACUAAACUGCUGCUUGGGGUUGUGGUUGGAGCAGAGUCAGGCCCAUGCAUCAACUGAGGGAGACGAUGGCGGCAGCAGUAGACAGGCGGGUGUAUGUGAGUGGGGGUGGCCUGAACCUGGAGGUGUUAGCGACUCCCUGCUGGAGGCGCUGGAGAGCCUGGGGCCGGCUGGGGCUCUCAGUCAGCGCCUGGAGGUUGUGCUGCAACGCGUCUACUGCCUCCACAUCCCACAAUCCUCUCCUCUCAGACUCCACGGCCUCUGCAGGUCCCCUCAUGCAAUCUCCCCCCGCAAUAGCAGCAGCAGCACCUGCAGGCUGUGUGUGCUGGUGCAGGAUGCCUGGGGCAUGUUCAGUGAGGUGCAGCUCCAGGCCCUGGCUUCAGAGGAGCAGCUCCAGCUCUUCACCCAGCAGUGGGAAGGUCGGAGCUGCCAGCUACAGGGGGUCAAGGUGCUGCAGCGCGUCACCAGGGACAGAUGUGCUCCUCUCUUCAGUCUGAUUGACAGCCUGUGGCCUCCCACUCUGCCCCUCAGAGUGCAUGGAGACUCUCUCAGCUGUGAGGAGAACAGAACUGCAGCAGCGGCUCCCAGCUUCUGUUACCGGCUAUCAGGCAAUGAGGCGUCAGUGGUGCUGAGUCAAGAGAUGCCGCGGUCCCUCCUUUAUCGGCCGCCUGUGAUGCUCAGCCUCCAGGAGAUCCUACAGGGUGGAAAAGAAGGUGGUCGCUAUAGCUUCACAGCAAAUGUUGUGUUCAGACGUUUACAGGACUCUGGUUCAGGUGCUGGUGAUGCAGAGAACUGGCUGCUUUUUGUGACGGACGCCAGCCUGCAGGAUGAGGAAGAGCCCAGGCCAGGCAGCCCCCGCCGGGCGCUGACUGUGUGCUUUAGGCCACCCCACACGCUCCAGCACUCUGUCAGACAGGCCAUCACUACGGCAUCUUCAUCUUCCACCUCCCGCUGCCUCCUCACCUUCAGAGAUGCAUUAUUACAGCGGGGUUGUAUUGUUUGCUUGGAGCAGACCACUGUCAGGCUGGCUGGGGCACCAGAAGACAUCCUGCACCCAGACCCUCUCCCACAGCCCCUUCGACUGGACCAGCUGGGCCCAGAGACGCCGCCCAAUACUCUAUGCACACUCACGGCUCGGCUCUCACAAGGCUGCUCAAAUGGUUUCAGUUACCAAAUAAUGGAGAAGAAGAAAAGACUGAUUUAUCCUUGUUUCAUUGUUGGCCAUCGUAUUAAGUCUCCUUGUGUUGCUUCUCAGGGGAAUUUUUUUUAUUUUGAUUCCUUUAAGAAAAGGAAUUCUUUAAAAAUGUGGAUGUAAGUGUCAAAGACUAAGAAGUGCGGUCACCCUUUGCCACUGUUUAUCUUGUCACCUCCUGACUGAGCUGCCCAGUAAAGGCCCAUCCCCACUGCCAAUGAUAACUGCACAGAUAAAUGUAGCUCUGUUAGUGAUAUGCGCGUAAGUAAAAGCCUCUCAAAAGUACCCUUCAUGUCUGAACGUGACUCCUCUGAAAUGCGAUGGGUUCUGAUUGACCCUGGUUGACCGCUAUCAUUCACACUACUGCUCUGACAAAUGACACCCAGUGAUGCGUUAGCUUUAUAGUGUGUGGUGUGGACGUUGAGCUGAAGUUGAAAGCAUUUUCAUAGUUAUCUUACAGUCUUGUGAGCAGACCACAGUACAUCCUUUUUUAUCAUUCUGUACUUGGAACGAAACUACUGGUUGAGGUCGUGUUAGUUUCAGUUAGGGCGAUGUGUACUCUAGGUUCGGGUGAACGAGGGAUAGGUUGUUGCCCUUGUGGCUCCGAUAUGCUUUGCUGAUAUGGUCUGAUCACCGGGGCUGAGAAUUUGUAUCAAGCGCAUAUUAUCUCCUGCCAGGUCAGCAAGUUUGCCUGUGCCUUGGCUGCAUGCCUUGUUCAGAGCUUUUCUGUAUUCCAGCCCAGUGUCAUUCCUUAUCUGUAGGAAAUGCUGUACGUUACAUAAUGUAUGUGUGUGCUUUAUGAUGAUAUUUGUCAGAUGGUGUCAGCUCAGCUCCUUGGAACGAACUAAAACUUCAUAAGUGGUCGGGGUUAGAGCCCUGAGCGUGACCUCUUGGGGAGAAACAACGGCAUUCUGGGAGUAAAACUCUCCAAAACACAUUGGCUCCUCUUCCCACUCUCACGUCGGCCUCCUAGUGUUCCAUGAAAAUGCACAUGAAUAAAGCUGUCUUACAUCAAAUGAGUCUUGACUGCUUAAACAGACCUUUAGACACCAAAAAUGAAAUUUCAUUUCAGAUCCAAAUCACUUUACAGUUCAGCAUCGGAACAGAAAGGCUUGACGGUACUAUAAGCCUUAAUUUUACAUGUUUGUAUAAUGAGUCACAUGUCAGUUCUUUGUGGUGACCAGGUGAAAAAAGCAGGUAAAGCCACUGCAUUGUCCUUUGUGUAGACCAAUGCAUUAUUGUAAUUAUUGAGUACAGUACAGUGGGACUGUUGGCUUAAGUAAGCUCUCAGAUGUUGUUAUGAAUACAUCCAUUUGGCUUAUAUCUAGUCUAAGCAGGUGUGUGGUGCAUAACUGUAGCUAUUUUCUUAAAGUGAGAUUCACCUCUCUGUGUCACUCUUGUCAGGUGUGAUUGUAGGUGUGGAUGAACAGACGGCUUACUCCUGGCCUGUGUGCAGCCUGUGUGAGAGUGAGCGUCUGGAGAAAGCUCUGGCCAUGCAGGAAGGUUUUCUUUGUACUGCUUGUGGUGCAGAAGUAGUCAAACCCA